rnacentral:rRNA from 1 species
UACGUAGGGUGCAAGCGUUGUCCGGAAUUAUUGGGCGUAAAGAGCUCGUAGGCGGUUUGUCGCGUCGGCUGUGAAAACCUGGGGCUCAACCCCGGGCCUGCAGCCGAUACGGGCAAACUAGAAUUUGGUAGGGGAGACUGGAAUUCCUGGUGUAGCGGUGAAAUGCGCAGAUAUCAGGAGGAACACCGGUGGCGAAGGCGGGUCUCUGGGCCGAUAUUGACGCUGAGGAGCGAAAGCGUGGGGAGCAAACAGG